GAUGAACGCUGGCGGCGUGCCUAAUACAUGCAAGUCGAGCGAACGGACGAGAAUCUUGCUUCUCUGAUGUUAGCGGCGGACGGGUGAGUAACACGUGGAUAACCUACCUAUAAGACUGGGAUAACUUCGGGAAACCGUAGCUAAUACCGGAUAAUAUUUUGAACCGCAUGGUUCAAAAGUGAAAGACGGUCUUGCUGUCACUUAUAGAUGGAUCCGCGCUGCAUUAGCUAGUUGGUAAGGUAACGGCUUACCAAGGCAACGAUGCAUAGCCGACCUGAGAGGGUGAUCGGCCACACUGGAACUGAGACACGGUCCAGACUCCUACGGGAGGCAGCAGUAGGGAAUCUUCCGCAGUGGGCGAAAGCCUGACGGAGCAACGCCGCGUGAGUGAUGAAGGUCUUCGGAUCGUAAAACUCUGUUAUUAGGGAAGAACAUAUGUGUAAGUAACUGUGCACAUCUUGACGGUACCUAAUCAGAAAGCCACGGCUAACUACGU
rnacentral:rRNA from 1 species